rnacentral:rRNA from 1 species
AUGCGGUAUGACGGUACCCUUUCGAAUAAGAGGUUGCUAACUCUGUGCCAGCAGCAGCGGUAAUACAGAGACCUCGAGCGUUAUCCGGAUUUACUGGGCGUAAAGCGUCUGUAGGGGGUUUGUUAAGUUCCAAGUAAAAUCUUAAGGCUCAACUUUAAGUUCGCUUGGAAAACUAAUAAACUGGAGUCCAGCAGAGGUGCAUGGAACUUGCGGUGUAGGAGUGAAAUCCGUUGAUAUCGCAAGGAACACCAAAGGCGAAGGCAUUGCACUGGGCUGGUACUGACCCUGAGAGACGAAAGCGUGGGGAGCAAAACGGAUUAGAUACCCGUGUAGUCCACGCCGUAAACGAUGGAUACUAGAUGUUCGGGGAUUCGACCCCCUGGGUGUCACAGCUAACGCGUUAAGUAUCCCGCCUGGGAAGUACGGCCGCAAGGCUAAAACUCAAAGGAAUAGACGGGGAUCCGCACAAGCGGUGGAGCGUCUGGUUUAAUUUGAUAGUAAGCAAUGGACCUCACCAAGGUUUGACAUCCUAUGACAACCCUGGAAACAGGGCUUCCUUCGGGCAUAGUGACAGGUGCUGCAUGGUCGUCGUCAGUUCGUGCCGUGGGGUGUUCCGUUAAGUCGGGAAACGAACGAAACCCUCGUCGCAUGUUACAAAUUUCAUGCGAGACUGCCCGGGUCAACCGGGAGGAAGGCGGGGAUGACGUCAGAUCAGCAUGGCCCUUAUACCUUGGGCUACACAGGCGCUACAAUGGCCGGUACAAAGGGUUGCAAAACCGCGAGGUGAAGCUAAUCCCAUAAAGCCGGUCCAAGUUCGGAUUGGAGGCUGCAACUCGCCUCCAUGAAGUUGGAAUCGCUAGUAAUCGUGGAUCAGCCAUACCACGGUGAAUACGUUCCCGGAUCUUGUACUCACCGCCCGUCACACCAAGAGAGUUGG